AACGAACGCUGGCGGCAGGCCUAACACAUGCAAGUCGAGCGAACCCUUCGGGGUUAGCGGCGGACGGGUUAGUAACGCGUGGGAACGUGCCCAAAGGUACGGAAUAGCCUCGGGAAACUGAGAGUAAUACCGUAUGUGCCCCUCGGGGGAAAGAUUUAUCGCCUUUGGAUCGGCCCGCGUUGGAUUAGGUAGUUGGUGGGGUAAUGGCCUACCAAGCCGACGAUCCAUAGCUGGUUUGAGAGGAUGAUCAGCAACACUGGGACUGAGACACGGCCCAGACUCCUACGGGAGGCAGCAGUGGGGAAUCUUAGACAAUGGGGGAAACCCUGAUCUAGCCAUGCCGCGUGGACGAUGAAGGCCU
rnacentral:rRNA from 1 species